UACAGAGGGGGCAAGCGUUGUUCGGAAUUACUGGGCGUAAAGGGCGCGUAGGCGGCCCGCUAAGUCGAACGUGAAAUCCCCAGGCUUAACCUGGGAACUGCGUCCGAUACUGGCAAUCUCGAGUCCGGAAGAGGUGAGUGGAACUCCUAGUGUAGAGGUGGAAUUCGUAGAUAUUAGGAAGAACACCAGUGGCGAAGGCGGCUCACUGGUCCGGUACUGACGCUGAGGUGCGAAAGCGUGGGGAGCAAACAGG
rnacentral:rRNA from 1 species